rnacentral:misc_RNA from 1 species
GUGAGUCAUCGAAUCUUUGAACGCACAUUGCGCCCGCCAGCAUUCUGGCGGGCAUGCCUGUUCGAGCGUCAUUUCAACCCUCGAGCCCCCCCGGGGGCCUCGGUGUUGGGGGACGGCACACCAGCCGCCCCCGAAAUGCAGUGGCGACCUCGCCGCAGCCUCCCCUGCGUAGUAGCACACACCUCGCACCGGAGCGCGGAGACGGUCACGCCGUAAAACGCCCAACUUCUUAGAGUUGACCUCGGAUCAGGUAGGAAUACCCGCUGAACUUAAGCAUAUCAAUAAGCGGAGGA